CUCUCUCUUCUCUCUCCCCGAUUCUGUCAUCCCCUCCGACCUCUUCACCUUCUUCCGGCCAUAACUCCUUCAUCCGGCGACGGAUUUUGACGUAUAAGAUGUCGUUGGAAAGCUCUCUUCCCUCUCUUCAUUUCUAUGGUGGUUUGGUGAUUGAUUCUGGACUGUGGAAGGUGCAGCAACGAGAAGAAGAGGACGGUCACUGUAGCAUAUCGGGAUUUCCAUCGAUUUCCGGCGAUUCCGGCCGUCUCCGGCCACCAAUUUGGCGUCGAAGGUUAGGUUUUUGACAUAGAUCAUUUCCCCUAAGGUCUUUCAUUUCAAUUUGCAGUGUAGAGGUCGAAUUAACGAUUUGCAAUUUCUAGGGUUCUUGGAGUUUUCUGGAAAUUUUUCACCGGCCAAAUUGGAGCCCUUCAAGGACGAUAUAUUGAGCUACCGCUUGACGAAGGAACUCGUUUGCGUGGUCGCCCAUUAGUACAUUUGCAGGCGUUAUUAGUUGAGGUCGGGCGUACAUGGUUCGAGGCAUAGUUGACGAAUAGCUUCCGCACUUCUUUGUUUGGCUCUGAUCUAUUGUGGGUUACUAUUUGGGUAGUCCACUUUAGGGGUGACUCGACCAGUUCUUGGUAGAGUUAUCUCUAAGGUGGGCCCCGCAGGGCCACCUCGGAUUUCAGGGUGAAAUUCGGGGCGGGUCCUGUCAGUUCCAGCUUGGCUACUCAAGUCGGUUUGCAGCAAGGCAAAUUGGAAAAUUAAGAAGUUGAGAGCGAAGAUGGUGUUUCUAAGAUUGAAUUGCCUAUAGGUGGCGAUCAAUCUAAGGGCGAAAACCUUCGCCUCGACCAGCCCGAUGUAGAAGAAAAAGCUAGCUUGUUCACUGGCGAAUCACAGCCUUACAUAGAGGCUGCUUAUGGAAAAGAUGAUCAACAAGAUUGUUCUUCUGACAAUAAAAUUGUCUCUAAACAUAUACUUGAUUUCUCCACUGAUCCAGCCAUAUAUGUGGACACUGGUCAGAUGCAUGGAGGGCAAGAUGCUGCCCAUGUUCACUCUUUUAAUAACCAGAAGCAAAUGCAUGACCAAUUGAAUUACGGUCUUACUACUGGACGCUACCAUGGUCAAGAAAGUGAUCAAAAACAUGAUCAGAAUGGUCAACUCAAUUAUCAUGCAGGUGGCUUUGAUGGCACUGGACGUUGUCAUGGAGAUUAUCAAUUAAGCCAUGAUCAACU